AUACGGAGGAUGCGAGCGUUAUCCGGAUUUAUUGGGUUUAAAGGGUGCGCAGGCGGGCGAUUAAGUCAGCGGUGAAAGGCUCGGGCUCAACCGGAGCAGUGCCGUUGAUACUGGUUGUCUUGAAUGCGGUCAAGGCCGGCGGAAUGUGGCGUGUAGCGGUGAAAUGCAUAGAUAUGCCACAGAACACCGAUAGCGAAGGCAGCUGGCCGGGCCUGCAUUGACGCUCAGGCACGAAAGCGUGGGGAUCGAACAGGAUUAGAUACCCUGGUAGUCCACGCUGUAAACGAUGGGCACUCGUUGUCGGCGACAGACAGUCGGCGGCCAAGCGAAAGUGAUAAGUGUCCCACCUGGGGAGUACGGUCGCAAGGCUGAAACUCAAAUGAAUUGGCGGGG
rnacentral:rRNA from 1 species